ACGGAAAGGCAGCAGUGGGGAAUAUUGCACAAUGGGGGAAACCCUGAUGCAGCGACGCCGCGUGAGUGAAGAAGUAUUUCGGUAUGUAAAGCUCUAUCAGCAAGGAAGAAAAUGACGGUACUUGACUAAGAAGCCCCGGCUAACUACGUGCCAGCAGCCGCGGUAAUACGUAGGGGGCAAGCGUUAUCCGGAUUUACUGGGUGUAAAGGGAGCGUAGACGGUAAGGCAAGUCUGAAGUGAAAUGCAGGGGCUCAACCCCUGAACUGCUUUGGAAACUGUCAAACUAGAGUGCAGGAGAGGUAAGUGGAAUUCCUAGUGUAGCGGUGAAAUGCGUAGAUAUUAGGAGGAACACCAGUGGCGAAGGCGGCUUACUGGACUGUAACUGACGUUGAGGCUCGAAAGCGUGGGGAGCAAACAGGAUUAGAUACCCUGGUA
rnacentral:rRNA from 1 species